ACGGCCCGCCGGGGUCCUCCAUGUGCCAUCCUCUCAUCAGUUUGCGGACAUCAUGACAAAGGGCCUGCCAACUCCUUUAUUUACUAAGUUUACAUCCAGAAUGUGCGUUCGUGAUCCUCCUGCUUCGACUGCGGGCGGGUAUUAGGAAGUAUAUGUGUAUUUUAGGAUGUCUUUAUCCUUUCCUUGUACACUUGAUGUAUUCCUUGUACUCUAAGCCAUAUUGGUCAUAUAUAUAGAGGUCACCCCCUUCCUCAUUAGAGUGUAUGGUGUUUUCCCAUCCACUUCUCUACAGGUCUGAUCGAAGUACCACUUAAAGUCUACAUAACUCCCCAUUGUAUCGAAGGUCGACUAUAUCACCCCCUCAACUAUAAAACCAGAUUUUUAACCCCUCCACCUUUGCAAAACCAUUUAAAACACCCCUUAGGAUGGUUAUUAACUGUGGUUUUGCAAUGCUAGCAUGAUGACGUGGACCAUGACACUGACAUGGACUUAAUAACGCAUGGGUUCGCUAGUAAGUGGGUAGGUCAUAUUCCCUUUCUUCGUCUCCCCCUUUCUCCAUGGUCGUUUGCCUUAGCCUACUAUCAUCAACACGUCGUCCAUGAACACGUAGAAAGGCAACAGGACACUCCUGGAC
rnacentral:lncRNA from 1 species